rnacentral:rRNA from 1 species
AUACGUAGGGGGCGAGCGUUGUCCGGAAUGAUUGGGCGUAAAGGGCGCGUAGGCGGCCCGGUAAGUCUGGAGUGAAAGUCCUGUUUUUAAGAUGGGAACUGCUUUGGAUACUGUCGGGCUUGAGUGCAGGAGAGGUAAGUGGAAUUCCCAGUGUAGCGGUGAAAUGCGUAGAGAUUGGGAGGAACACCAGUGGCGAAGGCGACUUACUGGACUGUAACUGACGCUGAGGCGCGAAAGUGUGGGGAGCAAACAGGAUUAGAUACCCUGGUAGUCCACACUGUAAACGAUGAAUGCUAGGUGUAGGGGGUAUCGACCCCUUCUGUGCCGCAGUCAACACAAUAAGCAUUCCGCCUGGGGAGUACGGCCGCAAGGUUGAAACUCAAAGGAAUUGGCGGGG